CGGGUGAGUAACGCGUGGAUAACCUGCCUCACACUGGGGGAUAACAGUUAGAAAUGGCUGCUAAUACCGCAUAAGCGCACAGUACCGCAUGGUACGGUGUGAAAAACCCAGGUGGUGUGAGAUGGAUCCGCGUCUGAUUAGCCAGUUGGCGGGGUAACGGCCCACCAAAGCGACGAUCAGUAGCCGACCUGAGAGGGUGGCCGGCCACAUUGGGACUGAGACACGGCCCAA
rnacentral:rRNA from 1 species